CCUAAGAUCACUGGUUCUAACAGGUUCGAGGAUAAUGUAAUUCUAUCUGAAAGUGUAUUCCAACUAAGCAGUAGUAAAAUGGGAAUCAAAAAGCAAUAUGUAGGUAUUAUUUUUGGCAUCGCAAUGAAUUGCUUUUUGGAAGGAUACUCGGAUCAGUUCGAAAGUAAAUUAUGUUUAGAACAAGCUUUGGAAAUCUAUGUCCAAUUGCAAGAAUCUCAGUGCCCUGACAAUUUCCUAGUCCCAAGGCAAGGUCUGAUUAGUAUAUUGACUGUGUAAAUAAACCCUUCUUUGGACAAAACUUGUUGAAAUUGUUAUUAUUACUUCUAAAUUGCAAAAUAAAAAAAAAA